rnacentral:rRNA from 1 species
UACGAAGCAGGCGAACGUUGUCCGGAUUUACUGGGUAUAAAGGGUGCUCAGGGGGUCUUGUAAGAAAGAGAUGAAAUCUCAAGGCUUAACCUUGAAACUGCCUUUGAUACUGCUGGGCUUGAGUACGGAAGAGGCGGAUGGAAUUCCUGGUGUAGCAGUGAAAUGCGUAGAUAUCAGGAGGAACACCGGUGGGGAAGGCGGUCCGCGGGUCCGUUACUGACUAUACAGCAAGUAGGCGUGGGGAGCACACAGG